rnacentral:rRNA from 1 species
CGCGGCCUAUCAGCUUGUUGGUGUGGUAACGGCGCACCAAGGCGACGAUGGGUAGCUGGUCUGAGAGGAUGGUCAGCCACAUUGGGACUGAGACACUGCCCAAACUCCUACGGGAGGCUGCAGUCGAGAAUAUUUCGCAAUGGGGGAAACCCUGACGAUGCGACGCCGCGUGGGGGAUGAAGGCCUUCGGGUCGUAAACCUCUGUGUUACGGGAUGAACUGGACGUUGCUGAUAACGCAGCGUUCUUGACGUUACCGUAGUAGAAAGCCCCAGCUAACUACGUGCCAGCAGCUGCGGUAAUACGUAGGGGGCAAGCGUUGUCCGGAAUCACUGGGCGUAAAGCGCGCGCAGGCGGUAGGGUAAGUCAGACGUGAAAGGGUUCGGCUCAACCGAGCCAUUGCGUUUGAAACUGCUUUACUUGAGUCUAGAAGAGGAAAGUGGAAUGUAUGGUGUAGCGGUGGAAUGCUUAGAUAUCAUAUAGAACACCCGUGGCGAAGGCGGCUUUCUGGUCUAAGACUGACGCUCAUGCGCGAAAGUUUGGGGAGCAACCGGGAUUAGAUACCCCGCUAGUCCUUACUGUAAACGAUGGGUACUAAGUGUAGGGGGUGUUGAUUCCCUCUGUGCUGUAGCUAACGCAUUAAGUACCCCGCCUGGGGAGUACGG